rnacentral:misc_RNA from 1 species
CAAAAUGCGAUAAGUAAUGUGAAUUGCAGAAUUCAGUGAAUCAUCGAAUCUUUGAACGCACAUUGCGCCCGCCAGUAUUCUGGCGGGCAUGCCUGUUCGAGCGUCAUUUCAACCCUCAAGCCCCCGGGUUUGGUGUUGGGGACCGGGCUGCGGUUCUACCGCGUCCCGGCCCCGAAAUCUAGUGGCGGUCUCGCUGCAGCCUCCAUUGCGUAGUAGCUAACACCUCGCAACUGGAACGCGGCGCGGCCAAGCCGUUAAACCCCCAACUUCUGAAUGUUGACCUCGGAUCAGGUAGGAAUACCCGCUGAACUUAAGC